GAGGGUUUGAUCCUGGCUCAGAUUGAACGCUGGCGGCAGGCCUAACACAUGCAAGUCGAGCGGAUGAAGGGAGCUUGCUCCUGGAUUCAGCGGCGGACGGGUGAGUAAUGCCUAGGAAUCUGCCUGGUAGUGGGGGAUAACGUCCGGAAACGGGCGCUAAUACCGCAUACGUCCUGAGGGAGAAAGUGGGGGAUCUUCGGACCUCACGCUAUCAGAUGAGCCUAGGUCGGAUUAGCUAGUUGGUGGGGUAAAGGCCUACCAAGGCGACGAUCCGUAACUGGUCUGAGAGGAUGAUCAGUCACACUGGAACUGAGACACGGUCCAGACUCCUACGGGAGGCAGCAGUGGGGAAUAUUGGACAAUGGGCGAAAGCCUGAUCCAGCCAUGCCGCGUGUGUGAAGAAGGUCUUCGGAUUGUAAAGCACUUUAAGUUGGGAGGAAGGGCAGUAAGUUAAUACCUUGCUGUUUUGACGUUACCAACAGAAUAAGCACCGGCUAACUUCGUGCCAGCAGCCGCGGUAAUACGAAGGGUGCAAGCGUUAAUCGGAAUUACUGGGCGUAAAGCGCGCGUAGGUGGUUCAGCAAGUUGGAUGUGAAAUCCCCGGGCUCAACCUGGGAACUGCAUCCAAAACUACUGAGCUAGAGUACGGUAGAGGGUGGUGGAAUUUCCUGUGUAGCGGUGAAAUGCGUAGAUAUAGGAAGGAACACCAGUGGCGAAGGCGACCACCUGGACUGAUACUGACACUGAGGUGCGAAAGCGUGGGGAGCAAACAGGAUUAGAUACCCUGGUAGUCCACGCCGUAAACGAUGUCGACUAGCCGUUGGGAUCCUUGAGAUCUUAGUGGCGCAGCUAACGCGAUAAGUCGACCGCCUGGGGAGUACGGCCGCAAGGUAAAACUCAAAGGAAUUGACGGC
rnacentral:rRNA from 1 species